rnacentral:snRNA from 1 species
GGACAUAAGGGCGAUCUGACUGUGAUAUCAGUCACCCCAUUGAUCACUAGGGUUGAUUCAUUUGAUCUUGCUGGCUAGGCAGGUGUCCCCUUCCUCCUUCACCACUCUAUAUCCAUCCCUCCCAAAGUUUCACAAUGGGUAAAGAGGACAGCCUUCCCCAAAUAGAGACAGACCAGUCUUUGGUAAAAGAUAAAUGAGUAGCUGUAGUCCCCUGCUAGAACCUCCAAACAAGCUCUCAACUGAUCAAAUUAUGUAGGUAUAUGUAUAGGUUUAUAAUUUUAAUACAAUAAUCCUAACAAUAAAAAUAAGAGAAGUAGAUUAACAUGUUUU